rnacentral:snRNA from 1 species
GCAGCUCUCUUUGCCUUUUGGCUUAGAUCAAGUGUAGUAUCUGUUCUUUUCAGUUUAAUCUCUGAAACUGGUCUACGGACCAAUUCAAGAUUAUUCUUAUUUUUGAAACCAGCUGACAAGUCACUGGGCUUGCUCAUACUUGUCGGCACAGUGUCGCUCCUAUCCGCACUAUCGGGAGCUGACGCGAACCUAC